GAUGAGGUUCAGAGAUGGCCUUCUGAAGAGAUGCACGAACACUGUACCCUGAGGAAGGAGAAGUCUGCUGCUUGAAGAGAAGAAACCUGCCCUGCUGAAGAUGUUGACAUCUAGGUGGUCUCUGCUUUUUCCCCAUGAUUUGUGGAGUUCUGAGAGGUGGGAGUGAAGUGGGCUGCUUGUGGAAGGAGAAGAGAGAAUUCUUGAGUUAAAUUCUCUAUUCCUUGGGAAAGCAGUGACAAAAGUAUGGCUGUAUAUCUCAUGUGAAAUGCAAAUCACCCAUCCUACUGGACUACCCAUAUCUAAGAACACUACCCUGAGGAGUGUUUGAAGAAAGGGGCCACGAAGAAAAAGAAGAAAAGGGACCAGGAGAAUACUGAAGAGAAGUUUGAAAGAAACGAUAUCUCUCACCCCAUAAAAAAGGUACAAACACAGCACAGGCUGAUACACCUCAUUCUUCUAGUUUUGGAUUUUCCACUAACCUACUUCAAGAGGAUUCCAGCCAGAAUGGGUAACCAAUAUAUUGGCAGUGUGACACUAUUCUUCCAGUCCCCAGAGUCAAUGAAUUUACUGCUCUAGAAUGAGAAUUCCAGAAAGGUCAUGAUUAUGGUAUUUUUUUUCACUUAAGGAGAUUAUUUCUUUGAGGGGG
rnacentral:lncRNA from 1 species